rnacentral:rRNA from 1 species
GUUGUAUGGUUAAGUGACUAAGCGUAUGUGGUGGAUGCCUUGGCAGUUAGAGGCGAUGAAGGACGUGUUAAUCUGCGAAAAGCUUUGGUGA